CACAGGCUCACUCCCACUGCGCAUGCGCAGUAUCAACAUCCAUUCACUCAGUCUCUCCCGCGCAGCAACGCACAAGUCCACCAGCACACAGGCCGGGGGCACUGAGGCCAGCCUGCUAGCUCGAGUCACCGUCUUUUUUAUUCUUUUAAAGAAUAAUAAGAAACCAGAUGUGACGGCAAAUGUGCACCAUUGUACUCCAAGGCCUCCCUGUUCUACCUGGUAAAGACCCCCAGUGACUUCUACAACACCUGCUUCUGGAGAGAGACAGUAAAUCCAGGGGCAGAGAGAGGGGAUGAUGGCAUGCAGCAAAUGGUCCAGGACGGAUUCAAACCCGGGGUCGUCGUGGUAAGGACACAGCCUCAAUAUGUCAUGUAUUUGUUUGGUUUAUUACAGGAUUGUGACACUGAUGAGACCCACCUUCACCCAGUGUCUACUGCCAUCACUGCCAUCAUUGUUGACGGAGGUAUUGUAAUGGAUAAUCUCCAGAACCUGUUCGGGUAGGGACAGUAUUAAAGUGUUUUGAUGUCAUUAAAGGCAAUCUUUGAAAAAAAAUGUAUGUAAUUGAACUAUGUGAUGACCUUGAUUUAUUAUGUUUAAUUGUUAUUCAGAUUAUUUUAGGAGAUUGGAACCUGUUUUUCAUCCCUGUAUAGAUAUUUGAAGCACUUUUUUGAAGCACAGAUUGCUGAAGUAACUUGUUUUUUUUUUAAGUGCAAUUGGUUUCCAUGGUUUUAGCAAGUACGUCAGAUUGCUAUUCAAGUAAGUAUAACUUAGAAAUGCGAAGUUAGUCCAACUUAGAUAAGUGUGUUAUAUGGACUAAACACGAGUUAAUUUCACAUGCAAUGAUUUAGUAAAUUAAAAUAGUAAUUCUGAGUAGUCUCUACUAAGUUGAAAGUACAUCUAAAAUAAGUUACCAAGUACACACUGCUUGAUUGUUUUAGUUGCUUAAACUCAUUUAUAAGUGUAUUCUACGAAGUAAACGCUAGUGAGUACAACUUAAAAUACCUAGUUCUCUUCACUUGUUUUUGAAGUGCAACCGGUUUGUAUACUUUUCUUUAGUAAUGAUAACUAAUUGGAUUUUAGAGUAACUCAAAUAUGGUAAAAGUAGUGAAUGAUAU